CAGGGAUUGCCCUAGUAACGGCGAGUGAAGCGGCAACAGCUCAAAUUUGAAAUCUGGCUCUUUUAGGGUCCGAGUUGUAAUUUGCAGAGGGCGCUUUGGCGUUGGCAGCGGUCCAAGUUCCUUGGAACAGGACGUCACAGAGGGUGAGAAUCCCGUACGUGGUCGCUAACCUUCGCCGUGUAAAGCCCCUUCGACGAGUCGAGUUGUUUGGGAAUGCAGCUCUAAAUGGGAGGUAAAUUUCUUCUAAAGCUAAAUACUGGCCAGAGACCGAUAGCGCACAAGUAGAGUGAUCGAAAGAUGAAAAGCACUUUGGAAAGAGAGUCAAAUAGCACGUGAAAUUGUUAAAAGGGAAGCGCUUGCAGCCAGACUUGCCUGUAGUUGCUCAUCCGGACUUUUGUCCGGUGCACUCUUCUAUAGGCAGGCCAGCAUCAGUUUGGGCGGUUAGAUAAAGGUCUCUGUCAUGUACCUCCUUUCGGGGAGGCCUUAUAGGGGAGACGACAUGUAACCAGCCUGGACUGAGGUCCGCGCAUUUAUGCUAGGAUGCUGGCGUAAUGGCUGUAAGCGGCCCGUCUUGAAACACGGACCAAGGAGUCUAACAUCUAUGCGAGUGUUUGGGUGUCAAGCCCGAACGCGUAAUGAAAGUGAACGGAGGUGGGAACCCUUUAGGGUGCACCAUCGACCGAUCCUGAUGUCUUCGGAUGGAUUUGAGUAAGAGCAUGGCUGUUGGGACCCGAAAGAUGGUGAACUAUGCUUGAAUAGGGUGAAGCCAGAGGAAACUCUGGUGGAGGCUCGCAGCGGUUCUGACGUGCAAAUCGAUCGUCAAAUUUGGGCAUAGGGGCGAAAGACUAAUCGACC
rnacentral:rRNA from 1 species